rnacentral:rRNA from 1 species
CCUACGGGAGGCAGCAGUGGGGAAUAUUGGACAAUGGGCGGAAGCCUGAUCCAGCCAUGCCGCGUGUGUGAAGAAGGCCUUUUGGUUGUAAAGCACUUUAAGCGAGGAGGAGGCUACUAGUAUUAAUACUACUGGAUAGUGGACGUUACUCGCAGAAUAAGCACCGGCUAACUCUGCGCCAGCAGCCGAGGUAAUACAGAGGGUGCGAGCGUUAAUCGGAUUUACUGGGCGUAAAGCGUGCGUAGGCGGCUGAUUAAGUCGGAUGUGAAAUCCCGUGAGCUUAACUUAGGAAUUGCAUUCGAUACUGGUCAGCUAGAGUAUGGGAGAGGAUGGUAGAAUUCCAGGUGUAGCGGUGAAAUGCGUAGAGAUCUGGAGGAAUACCGAUGGCGAAGGCAGCCAUCUGGCCUAAUACUGACGCUGAGGUACGAAAGCAUGGGGAGCAAACAGGAUUAGAUACCCUGGUAGGUCCAUGCCGUUAAACGAUGUCUACUAGCCGUUGGGGUCUUUGAGACUUUAGUGCGCAGCUAACGCGAUAAGUAGACCGCCUGGGGAGUACGGUUCGCGAAGACUAAAACCGUUAAGGAAUUGACGGGNGNGAGAGNGCGAGCGACGACGAGGGAGAGG